GACAUGUGUGCGCUGGUGUUUAGCGGUCUGCGCUCAAAAGAGUGUUACGACAUGCGACAUCGGUGCCGUAAAAUCUUCAACUGGAUCGUGUCUGGUCUUGAUUGACUGGGCGCUGUUCAUUCGGUUGAUCGUUUACUGUGAGAAAAUUAGAGUGUUCAAGGCAGGCAUUAUUGCAAUUGAAUAUGUUAGCAUGGAAUAAUAAGAUAAGGCUUUCGGCUUAUUUUGUUGGUUUCUAGAUCGGAAGUAAUGAUUGAUAGGGAUAGUUGGGGGUGCUAGUAUUCAACGGCCAGAGGUGAAAUUCAUGGAUUCGUUGAAGACUAACUUAUGCGAAAGCAUU
rnacentral:rRNA from 1 species